GGAGUUAGCCGGUGCUUCUUCUGUGAGUGAUGUCCUUCCUGCCGGUUAUUGACCCGCAGGCCUUCUUCCUCACUGAAAGUGCUUUACAACCCGAAGGCCUUCUUCACACACGCGGCAUGGCUGGAUCAGGGUUGCCCCCAUUGUCCAAUAUUCCCCACUGCUGCCUCCCGUAGGAGUCUGGGCCGUGUCUCAGUCCCAGUGUGGCUGAUCAUCCUCUCAGACCAGCUACGGAUCGUCGCCUUGGUGAGCCGUUACCUCACCAACCAGCUAAUCCGACAUAGGCUCAUCCGAUAGCGCGAGGCCCGAAGGUCCCCCGCUUUCCCCCGUAGGGCGUAUGCGGUAUUAUCCUGGGUUUCCCCAGGGUUAUCCCCCACUACCGGGCAGAUUCCUAUGCAUUACUCACCCGUCCGCCGCUCGCCACCAGGGAGCAAGCUCCCCGUGCUGCCGCUCGACUUGCAUGUGUUAGGCCUGCCGCCAGCGUUCAAUCUGAGCCAGGAUCAAACUCUGA
rnacentral:rRNA from 1 species